rnacentral:tRNA from 1 species
GAAAAAAGCUACCUGCCAGGACUUCAAAUCCAGUGGCAGGCAGCUUUAGUUGUCUGUGGUGGGUUCGAUUCCCACACUUUCCCG